rnacentral:rRNA from 1 species
GACGAACGCUGGCGGCGUGCCUAAUACAUGCAAGUCGAACGCUUCCUACCGGUGCUUGCACCGGGAAAGAAGAGUGGCGGACGGGUGAGUGACACGUGGGUAACCUACCUACAAGCGGGGGAUAACAUUCGGAAACGGAUGCUAAUACCGCAUUGAUCUUUUUGUCUCCUGGCAGAAAGAAGAAAGACGGUUUCGGCUGUCACUUGUAGAUGGACCCGCGGCGCAUUAGUUAGUUGGUGAGGUAAUGGCUCACCAAGACGAGGAUGCGUAGCCGACCUGAGAGGGUGAUCGGCCACACUGGGACUGAGACACGGCCCAGACUCCUACGGGAGGCAGCAGUAGGGAAUCUUCCGCAAUGGACGAAAGUCUGACGGAGCAACGCCGCGUGAGUGAAGAAGGUUUUCGGAUCGUAAAACUCUGUUGUUAGAGAAGAACAAGGAUGAGAGUAACUGCUCGUCCCUUGACGGUAUCUAACCAGAAAGCCAUGGCUAACUACGUGCCAGCAGCCGCCGUAA